rnacentral:lncRNA from 1 species
GGUUUUUUUUUCUUGUGAUAUUGAAAACAAAAUUUUAAACCUUGUAAAGAAGUUGCAAAAAGGGUUUUCCCCUUGUGAUGUUGAUAAAAAAUAAAACCUUAUAGAUAAGUUACAUAAAAGGUUUUAGUUCAUGGUUCUGAUCAAGGUGGGAAAUGUUUUCGUUUUACUUACUAUCACUUAUACUUUGUAGUCCCAACACAAGUUCAAUUACAACAGUCCAUUUCAUUAGGGCUAACAUUGGAGGGCAAUUACAUGGUAAAACAAUAAUGUCAAAUCAUUAAAAACCAAAAUAAGAUAGAAAAACAUUAAAUGUUCAUUGUUAGCCCAAAGUGACGGCAAAAUGCAUUUUGCAUGAAGCAGAAUACUAUGUCAAAAAAAAAGAAUACUAUGUCAUUCGACAUAAAUCAUGAUACUACUUAAGGGAACAACCAUUUAACUUCCAGGGAAAGGGGUUUUGUGUUAUUUUCCUUAAAUUUUGCGAUCCCCAGUUUUAAUGAAAAACAUAGUGUGGUCAAGCAGAUGACAACAAAAAAUAUUCCGAAAUCAAGAGUUGCAAAGACUUUUUUGUAAAACAAAUAUUGGAUAGUGCUGUUGGUAUCACCUCUCACUCCCUUGCAAUAAAGCUAAUCAUAAAUGUUGAAAACUCUGCUCUUCCAAGUCUUCAAAGUGGAAUGCUGAUAUCAUCAGCUAUCUUUACUUAGUGAAUGAGUUUGUAAAGUGUGAUAUAUACUUUUUGUGCUUCUUUGUGAUUUUGUUGUGAUUAAGAUUGUGACACGGUGUUGACUGAUGUACCCCUAUUUUGACAUUUGUACUUAUUAUAUAUGUUUGUUAUAUUCAUGCAUCGUUGUCGAUAUAAUGACAUUUGAUGCGAUGGACAUACAAGUGAGAGUUUUAGCGCUAUAAAACAAGGUUCAAUUCACCAUUUUCUGCAUAAGAAAAUGCCUGAACCAAGUCAGGAAUAUGAAGCUGUUGUCCAUUCGUUUGAUGUGUGUGUACUUUUGAUUUUGCCAUUUGAUUAUGAACUUUCCGUUUUGAAUUUCACUCAGAGUUCAGUAUUUUUGUGAAUUUAAUUUGUGACAGAAUUAUAUUGUCUUUAUUAAUUUAAAUAUCAUUAAGAAACUAACGUUUCAUCUCCACCAAGCAAAGGUGACGAAAGAUGGAUUUAUCUUUUAUUCAAUCAGCUUUUUGAUCCACUGUUCUGCUUCUUAUACAAUCUGGCUUUCAGAAACCAUAAUAUUCGGCUUUGAGCGUUCCAACUGAAGAUAUAUCAGGAAAAGCCUCGGCAUGCAUGAAAUUUAUAAGGUGUAUGCGUUUGGAAUUUUCCUCGGAGUUCAUAUUUUUGUUAGAUUACUUUGUCCAUGUCCUUUAUGUCUCGGCGGAUACCGCUUCUUGUGAACUACCAGUUCCUUGUGAUAUCAUCAGCUUAAUAUUUGGUACUUUGGUACUGUCAUUAUUUAAAACAAACCUUUCUGAAAUUUUCCAUUGUUUUAAAAAUUUAGAAAUAAUCAAGAAACUUGAGUUUCAACUGCCUUAGCAUUACUCACUGCCAACCAGAAUUACACACCCUUUUGAUUCUGUUAUAUUGAUACCAUGUAAAUAAGCAUGUAUAAAUCGUGUCAUUUAUAACAGAACUGUUGAUAUAUUGUGUGAAUCAAAAUGUGAACGUAAUGUUUAUUAAUUUAUUAGAAAUAUUGAUGUACAGCGUCAAUCAACUUGUUUAAAUCGUGUAAAU